CAGCAAACACUUCCAAGACAAACCCACCCGAAGCAGUGAGCUGAAGGCAGCACUUCGUGGCUGAGAGGCUACUCUACGGUACUGGCUCUGAGCCUGUGAACUGGGAGGGCUCUUCCUACCACCCACUGGUCAAGGUCCUUGGCCAGUACCACCAUCCAAAACAUAAGGUGUUCCUAAAGAAGCUGGUCACAAAUCACCUAAGAGAAAGUGCCUAGAGAAAUAAUAUAAAUGAAGUAAAUCAGCCCAGCUUCCAUUCUGUGGCAUGAAUGAAGACGUGAGGGAAACAAAGUUUCCCGUGUACCUGGGAGAAGACAGCACCCGAUUUAGUUAAGAGGCCUUUCUGUUUUAGCA